GAGAAAUAUAAUGAAGUAACCGUGAAAGCUAAAACAUCAGACUGAUCCAGACACUGAAGAAAUUGAUGUCACUGCAAUCUGGCCAAAAUGAUACAACUAUAUUGAAGUAACCUACUGUAAUGAAGCUGCAGAACAACACAGAGACUCUGAGGACAUCAACACAGAAAAUUAAGGCUCCAAAGAGAUGUCUGUCCAGAUGAGGGUGCAUCAACGUUACCUUUGCUGACAAGUAUAUGCUUUACAAUGUAAAACCUAACAGUUAACUUAACUCAAACCAUUUAAGGAAAUCGGUUGCCUUAACCCAUUAAGUUUAAAAAAAAAACAUACAUUUGAGUACUGUGAACUUAAGUCUUGUGCAAUAAUGCACUUAUAUUUAGUUAGUGUGAACUUAAAUAUAAGUGCAUAACUGCAUGUGACUCAAUUUGUUUAAGUUCACAGUACUCAAAUCUAUGUGUUUUAAAACUUAAAUGGUUUAAUGCAACCGGUUUUCUUAAAUGGUUUGAGUUUAGUUAACUUUUAGGUUUUACAGUGAGAAAUUCUUGAAUAAUUCCA